rnacentral:rRNA from 1 species
AAUCGCUAAUGUACCCCGGACUCUGGGAUAGCCAUCCGAAAGGGUGGGUAAUUCCAGAUGACAUAUCCUGCUCGCAUGAGCGGGAUCUCAAAGGUCCGCCGGUCUGGGCGCAGGCGAUUUCGUAUCAGCUAGUUGGUGCGGGUAACGGCCCACCAAGGCGACGACGCGUAGCCGGACUGAGAGGUUGGCCGGCCACAUUGGGACUGAGACACUGCCCAG